UGUUAUUGUGAUGAGAUUCGCAUAAGCGCGGGUAAACGGCGGGAGUAACUAUGACUCUCUUAAGGUAGCCAAAUGCCUCGUCGUCUAAUUAAUGACGUGCAUGAAUGGAUCAAUGAGAUUCCUACUGUCCCCAACUACUAUCCAGUGAAACCACAGCCAAGGGAACGGGCUUGGCAAUAUAAGCGGGGAAAGAAGACCCUGUUGAGCUUGACUCUAGUUUGAUAUUGUAAAACUACUUGGAAGAUGUAGCAUACGUGGGAGCAUCUAAUGCGACAGUGAAAUACCACGGCUUCUAAUGUGGCUUUGCUCACUCGGAAUUAGUGGAUCUGCUCUGCAGAAACGCGAAACUAAAGUGUAAACGACAUUCACUGAGGACAUUAUCAAAUGGGGAGUUUGGCUGGGGCGGCACAUCUGCUAAACAUCAACGCAGAUGCCCUGAGGUUAACUCAAAGAGAACAGAAAUCUCUUGUAGACCGAAAGGAGAAAAGUUAGCAUUAUUCGGAUUUGUAUCAUCAAUAAGAAUUGCGAAAGCAUGGCCUAUCGAUCCUUUAAGCCCAGAAAGAUUCUGGCUAGAGGUGACGGAAAAGUUACCACAGGGAUAACUGGCUUGUGGCAGCCAAGCGUUCAUAGCGACGUUGCUUUU
rnacentral:ncRNA from 1 species